AAUAUUGCACAAUGGAGGGAACUCUGAUGCAGCAACGCCGCGUGAGUGAAGAAGGUUUUCGGUUCGUAAAACUCUGUCAUUGGGGAAGAAUAAAUGACGGUACCCAAUGAGGAUGUCCCGUCUAACUACGUGCUAGCAGCCGCGGUAAUAUGUAGGGGGCGAGCGUUAUCCGGAAUUAUUGGGCGUAAAGGGUGCGUAGGCGGCCUUUUAAGUCAGGUGUGAAAGCCCACGGCUUAACCGUGGGAUUGCAUUUGAAACUGGAAGGCUUGAGUAUCGGAGAGGGUAGUGGAAUUCCCAGUGUAGCGGUGGAAUGCGUAGAUAUUGGGAGGAACACCAGUGGCGAAGGCGACUACCUGGACGAAAACUGACGCUGAGGCACGAAAGCUAGGGGAGCAAACA
rnacentral:rRNA from 1 species